GAUGUCAACAAACUUUUUAAAACCUGAUUUACGCCUAUUAUCACAGUUUUCUUAUUUUAAAAAUAUGUAAUUUUUAUUUUGUUUAUGAAAAGCGUAUGUAAACGGGGUCGAAACUACUGUGUGAAUAAACUUCGGCCCACGUGACAUCCCUUCACGUCUAUGCUCGCUAUCCCAAGGUUCAUUGCGAUCCCAAGGUUCACUGCGGUUUUCCACAAGCCUGUUUCUGCCUAUCACCAUGAGUGAUUCCUCAAUACUCAGAUUUAUCACCAAGAUCUCAAUUAUAAGCUCAAGUUUUGAUGACAACUUGGUGAUCUGCAUAAAGCACCACCAUGUAAGGAAGGCCAAGACCACUCUGGAAUCAGUCAAGGGUGAAAUGGAGUGAGGCAUACCAGGAUAUGCCUGGUUUUACUUUUGGGAAGGAGGUUGAACAGUGCAAUAUUUCUUCUAUAGGAUUGCAGUGACCAGACAUGCUACUGUAACUCUCAUGGUCAUGUGCUGGAAUUAGCAGAUGUUCAACAAUUUGGCCAUCUCGCUGACCUGUUGAUAUCAGAAGACCGCAACAGCUCUGCAAAGCAAGUUGCAAAACAGAAUCCAUGAAACUGGCAGUGACUGGAAACCAAUUGGAAGACUUUGGUCUGUGAUGUAGAGGAGUGGGCAGAGGUAGCAGAAGCAAAGACAACAAAAAGAAGAAGUGAUGUGGAUGUCUUCGUCAUAUUGCAUGACUCUGCUGACCCAGCAACAAAGAGGAGGGUGUUCAACAUCAUCCUGCUAGUCAGGAUUCUUCAGGAGAAGCAGUGGAUUCUUGUGGCAGAGAUGGUCAACCACUAUAAAUACCUUUCAACUCAUCCUGGUUCUUUCAAAGAACUUUCUUGCUUGUUUGCUACUGAAAUGUACUGAUUCGACAUGUGGCCUUAACGAAGAGGGGUUAAAAGGUCUAUGGAUCAUCAUUCUCA